UUUAAGAGCUGACUACCAGUGGGGAAGGAUCUCUUCUGGAGAUCUGCUCUGCUGGAGUUUUGUAAAUGAGUCAAGGAUAUGGGGAUCAGAAGAUCCAGGUUGGAGUCACCCUGGGCUCAUAUGAGUGCCAGCCACUGAAGAGAGCGUAUCUCUUGCACCUAGGCUGCUUCCUGAGGAGUGCUGCAGAGCCAGAGAGCGCCUUCUCCAGCUGGGAUAACUGGCAAGCUAAAUUCUAUUCUGCUCUUGACUGCUUUGAAUGUUGCUGCUUGAUGUUCAAGUGACCUGAUUAGUUUCA